GACGAACGCUGGCGGCGUGCUUAACACAUGCAAGCCGAACGGAAAGGCCCUGCUUUUGUGGGGUGCUUGAGUGGCGAACGGGUGAGUAACACGUGAGUAACCUUCCUUUGACUUUGGGAUAACUUCAGGAAACUGGGACUAACACCGGAUUGGUGCUCCUGCUGCAUGAUUGGGGUUGGCACGUUUGGGCGGCGGUGGAUGGACGCGCGGUUUAUCAGCUUGUUGGUGGGGGGGUGGCUUACCAAGGCUUUGACGGGUGUCCGGCCUGAGAGGGUGACCGGCAACAGUGGGACUGGGAUACGGCCCGGAGUCCUACGGGAGACAGCAGAGGGGAAGAUUGCACAAUGGGCGGAAGCCGGGUGCAGCAAGGCCGCGUGCGGGAUGACGGCCUUCGGGUGGUAAACCGCUUUCGCCUGUGACGAAGCGUGAGUGACGGUAAUGGGUAAAGAAGCACCGGCUAACUACGUG
rnacentral:rRNA from 1 species